rnacentral:antisense_RNA from 4 species
CUUUAUGGCGACUGUGCGCGGGGCAUCUUCGGGUGCGCCGGUGUCCGUGAGAGCCGGUCCGUCAACCCACGCACAGUUGCCACCCAA